ACACACACAAAGCUUACUUUUGUAGCGUUUCUUCUCUCUCUUUCUCACUGGGCCCCCCACCCCCCGUUCUCACGCACGAAACAAUUCUUAAGCUGCUGCGUUUUUAGAUGAAAAGGAAGAAGUUAUCUCGGGGUUGUUUUUGAAGGGCCUCCUCUGGAUGACUUCUCCGAGGGUCGCUAGUGGGCCGUGCCUUUUAAAGAGCAGUUGAAGCUUUUGUUUCUACCCAAGAAGAACUAGCAACGACUAAGAAGAAAACCUAUCCAGCAAGGUGGCGUAUGUUCCUAUGAUGUGGAAAAUGUGCCCAUGGAUUUUUGUGAAUCCAGAUAAUGACUCAGUAUUUCAAUCUGGUCCAUUUGUUGUUUAAAAUAAUCUAGUUUCUGUUUCUCACCUUGUUAUUGAAAACAAUUUUUGUAACAAUUUAAAUUCUUGAUGUUAGAGGCUAUAACCCCAAAUGCCACAUUAUUUAAUGAUAUCAGUAAAGUUAGCUGCUCCUAACUCUCACAGGAUUUGUAUGAUUAUACAAACUUUAGAUUUGUUGAAAUAAUUGUAAGUACAUUGAUUUAAGUAAAUGUUUAUAUAUUGGAUAGCAUAUGUACAUUUAAUAAAUAUUUAUGUACUAGUAUGGACUUAUGUAAAGCACUGAACCUGCUGCAGAAUGCAAGUUUUUAGAGAAAUAUCUCAUCUAAAAUGUUCAGGGAAAAUGGUCCCUUUAUUAUCAUGAACAGUAUAUACAUUCAUUGGCAGAAAAUACCCCUUUCUGGCUAAGAAGUAGAUAUCAUUCAAAACUGGGAAUUCUUUUCUACCUUCUGCUUUUAAAAUUAACGAAGUUCUCAUUUGUAGUAUUAGACCUUUAUCAUUCAUGUUCACUUAGAGGUUAUUUUAGAGAUUAAAAUAUUGAACAUUAUACAUUUAGACAUACUUGGAGCUAUUUUAUUUUAAUAUUUAUAUUUAUUAGAACUGCAAUUCAUUUUUCAAAAUGCUAGACAACAAAGUUUUCAAAAUAAAAAUCUCAAAACAAAUAUGUUGCACUUCAUAAACUGUGUGUCUGUGCACUAGAGCACUAAAUUAUAUUCCUGAAACGAGAUUUUCAGUUAUAACAAUUGAUUACAAACCCUAUUUUAUUGAGUCCUUUGUUAAAUUAUUUUCCUAUGUUUCUUGAUUUUUCAUGAUAUCUGUCUCCCAUAUUUCUACUUAGGACAGGUUUCCAUAUGUUGCCUUUUAGAUAUGUGGCUUUCAAUUCCCGGAAUUUCCUAACAUAGUCUUUGGUGAAUAUUCUGAGAAUUAGAAAUUUAAAUUAUUACAUUAUUUUUUGUGUUUAAAUAGAAUACUUCCUCAUCUACAUUGUACUAUUCAGUUAGUCAAAUUGUGAUUAAUCAAGAUCUAAAUCUUGAAUUAAAGCAGCUGUAGCAAGCUUGGGAAUCAAGUAAUUCUAGUUAGCUGUAACCAAUUAUGUUCUGAUGACAUGGCAAAAAAAAAAAUAGUAAAGGCUGUUUAGUGGAGUUAUUUGCACCGUAUUUGAUCUUCUGAUUUAAGCAGAAUUGAUAGAAAAGUUAGAGUUUUUUUCUGAGUAUGAAUAGAUCAAAUUUAAACAAUCUAGUCAUAAUUAACAUAAAAUCCAUUUCCAAAAGUGGAAAAUCUAUCAUACUUUAUAUUACUAAUCCAGAACUCCAUCUAAAGAACUGCUUUUUGCUGGCUUCUGCAUCAUAAAUGCCAGCUAAUUAAAGAGCAGUUAGUUAAAUGGGAGGGAUGAUGGUUUCUAUAGAAUUCUGCCCAGGUGGUAAAUGAAUCUUCACUUCCAAUCUUGAAACGUUUUACAAUUCUUAUGAAAUAAAUUAAAUUGGGAAACACUUUGUGAACCACUUAAUGUGUUAAAUGUUGCUUUAGAUGUGUUACCCUUUAUCCUCUUAAUAUUUAGAAAAUAUGGUGGUGAAUUUUAGUAUGUGCUGACCCAGAUGUUUUUCUCUGAUGUUUUGAGAGUUACUUCUCUCAUAAUUGUAUUAUUGUUUACCUCAGUUCACCUUCAAGCUCAUUUUUGCUAUAGUUUUCUAUACAUUGUUGAACAGUUUUAUAGCUCAUGAAAUGUGAAUUACCGUAAUUGCUCACUGUCAAGAUUUGUAUUUCCUAAUAUUAAAAAAACCAAUUAUUUCUCAUUGAA